UCAAGGAGCGAGACUCUAACCUAGAAAACUAUAAGAAAUCCUGCUGUGCCCUCCGACGAACAAUCAAACAGGCCAAGCGUAACGGGACUAAGAUCGAAUCGUACUACAACGGCUCCAACGCUUGUCGGAUGUGGCAGGGCUUGCAAUCUAUUACAGACUACAAAGGGAAGCACAGCCGAGAGCUGCCCGCUGACACGAGCCUACCAGACGAGCUAAAUUACUUCUAUGCUCGCUUCAAGGCUAGUAACACUGAAACAUACAUGAGUGCAUCAGCUGUUCCCGGACGACUGUGGUAUCACGCUCUCCGCAGCCGAUGUAAGACCUUUAACAUCUGGUCAGAAGGUAUGCCACCGACCUAUUCCUGAUCAGGGAAGAGCGGGGGCUGAUAUCCCAGGGAACACUCAAACGGUGAUAGGCCUGUGGCAGAGCAGGGAAGGGUGUUGCGGGCGUAUUCCACCCACGCCAGCUGCUGGCUGCAGGUGGUGGGGUUGGCGGAGACCAUCCAGCACAGAGUUGUCUCAAGGUCCUGGUUGGCUUGCUCUGACAGGCCAUUAGACUGGGGGUGGAACCCAGAGGACAGGCUGGCCGAUGACCCAAUGAGGGUGCAGAAUGCCUACCAGAACUGGGAUGAGAACUGAGGCCCGCGGUCGGAGACCAUGUCCACGGGCAGUCCAUGGAUCCGGAAGACGGGCUGCAUCAUGAGUUGGGCAAUCUCCUUGGCAGAGGGUAACUUGGGGAAAGGAAUGAAGUGGGCGGCAUUGGAAAAGCAAUGCACCACGGUCAGGAUGGCGGUGUUACCAUCAGACGGUUGAAGACCCGUGACAAAGUCCAGGGAGAUGUGAGACCAGGGGCAAUGAGGGAUGGCAGAGGUUGGAGGAGGCCAUCCAGAGCUUGUCGAGGUGUCUUGUUCCGUGCACAGACCGUGCAGGCAGCGACAAAUGCGGCGAUGUCGGGAACCAUGGUAGGCCACCAACAUCCGGUUAUCUGGCCCCCCAAUGUUUGGCUGGGACCGCUGCGCCUCCCGUACCUGUUUCCUGAUACCCCAGCUGAGUGCCUUCACCAGGCACGAGGUUGGAAGGAUGGUUUCGGGCUCCGGGGUGGUAGCCGUGGGGUUAUAGCGGCGAGACAGGGCAUCCGGCUUGACGUUCUUGGAACCAGCCGGUAGGAGAGGGAAACGUUGAACCGGGUAAACAGCAGGGCACAUCUCGCCUGUCUGGAGUUGAGGCGCUUGGCGGUACGGAGGUACUCCAGGUUUUUGUGGUCGGUACACACAAUGAACGGAUGUUCUGCCCCGUCGAGCCAGUACCUCCAUUUCUCCAAUGCCAUCGUCACCGCGAGAGGCUCCUGAUUCCCCACACCAUAAUUCCUCUCCGUAGCAUUGAGGCGGUGGGAGAAGGCGAAGAGAUGCAGCUUAAGGUCCAUGGCAGAAUGUUGGGACAGGACAGCCUCUACUCCGACAUCCAAAGCAUCGGCCUCCACUACGAACUGAUGGGAAGGGUCCGAUGAACCAGGAUCGGAGCCGUGGUGUUUAAAGUCAGCGACCGUGGACCACGUGAAUGGAACCUUGGCAGAGGUGAGGGCAGACAGGGGGGAGGCCAUGGUGCUGUAACCCCAGAUAAAGCGGUGAUAAAAGUUGGCGAACCCCAGGAUGCGUUGCAGCUGCACCCUGGACGUAGGCUGAGGCCAAUCCACCACCGCGGGAGAAGAUGAGGAUGUCAUCAAGGUAGACAAAGACGAACGGUUCAGCAUGUUGUCUAGAACGUCAUUCACCAAAGCCUGGAACACGGCAGGGGCGUUGGUGAGACCAAAGGGCAUGACCAGAUAUUCAUAGUCGCCACUGGACAUGUUGAAGGUGGUCUUCCACUCGUCCCUCUCUCGUAUACGCACCAGGUGGUAGGUGUUUUCGUAGAUCCAGCUUGGAAAACACCGUGGUCCCCUGGAGCAGCUCGAAGGCCGAGGAAAUGAAUGGUAGCGGAUAACGGUUCUUCACUGUGCACGGGCACAGGAUCAUGUCCUUCUUCUCCAUGAAGAAAAACCCUGCACCAGCGGGAGAGGAGGAGGGACAGAUAAAUCCUGUAGCUAGGGAGUCCCCAAUGUAGUUCUCCAUAGCCUUGGUCUCUGGUCCCGACAGCGAGUACAGACGUCCCCGGGGCGGCGUGAUACUAGGGAGAAGGUCAAUCCCACAGUCAUAGGGGCAGUGCGGCGGAAGGGAAGUGGUCCGGGCCUUACUGAACACCUCCCGGAGAUCCUGGUACUCCGUGGGAAUGGCAGAGAGGUCUCGGCUCCAACUCCGAGGAUCCAGGAAGAUGUCUCGGGGCAGGUUGCGCCAAUUUCAGACUAUGGGCAUGGCAGAACGGACUCUAGCCCAUGAUAGCCCACAUAGACCAGUCGAUGAGUGGAUGGUGUCGCUGGAGCCAGGAGAAUCCCAACACCACAGGAAUCUUGGGGGACUUGAUGAGCACGAACUGAAUGGUCUCGCUGUGAUUCCCUGACACAUGUAGGUUGAUGGGAGUGGUGGUAUGGGUGACCUGACCUAUAGAGCGCCCGUCCAGUGCUCUAACAUCCAUGGGAAUGGAGAGGGGCUGAGUGGGGAUGUUCAGCUCGGAAGCCAGUGUGGCGUCCAAAAAGCUCUCAACGGCCCCAGAGUCAAUGAGAGUACUCGCUCCCUGGUGAGACUGGUCCUUUACCAGGCACAAGGACACAAAAUGACCAAAAGUCCCGCAAUACAGACAGCUCCUUGUGCUGAUCCUGUGUUGCCUUUCCGCUGGCAACAGCCCAGCUCUGCCCAGUUGAAUGAGCUCCGGAAACAGUGCCUCUGCCCGCUUCGGUGACUCUCGAGGAAGGUCAGAAAACCUUGGGUGCUCUCGGCCACGGGACCGUCGGGGACUUACAGCAUGGCUCAGAGACGAGGUGGAAUCCCUGGACAUGCGAGUGACGUCGAAUUCUCUCUCCAUCCGUCGUUCCUGCAAUCGGCCAGCAAUGCGGAUGGUCAAAGCAAUGAGGGAGUCAAGAUCCGUGGGCAAUUCCCAAGCUGCAAGCUCGUCCUUAACCUCCUCCGAGACACCGUGCAGGAACAUGUCGAACAAUGCUUCCGGGUUCCACACACUCUCCGCUGCCAACGUGCGGAAAUCCACCGUAUAGUCUGCAACUGUGCAGGCGUCCUGCCGGAGCUCGAAUAGCUUCCAGGCAGCUUCUCUCCUGGAGAGCAGGGCAUCAAAAUCCUUCCUCACCUCCCCCACGAACCCCUCCAUGCUCACACAUAUGGUCGGCUGCUGUUCCCACACAGCGGUAGCCCAGGUGAGAGCCCUUCCAGACCAGAAUGAUGAGGUAAGCUAUUCUAGAGCAAUCCGAGGGGAAGGAGGAGGGCUGAAGCUCAAAAAUGAGGGCACACAGCUAAAAACGCCCGACAGAUGCUCAGCUCUCCAUUAAAGCGUUCUGGGGUACGUAAUCGGGGCUCCCGAGAAGCUGGAGUGGCCAGUGGGGCGGCGCUACUGAGAGGUGGUGGGGUUGCCACCUUGGCAGGCUGCCCCCCAGCCAACCCGUGGAAUUGCUCCUGCAGCAUGUCCAACGCCCGGUCAUGGUGCUCAGCCAACAUUUGGACCCCCUCCAUCAGCCCAUGAAGCAAAUCCUCAUGCCUACCAAUGGAGGCUCCUUGGGAGGAAAUGGCGUUGCACAGUUGGCCCGGGUCUGCUGGGUCAGUCAUGGCCAGUUCGUACUAUCAGGUAUGAAGUCCUCCCGGUUUUGACCCUUGCCUGUUCUGGACUCUGUACCCGCCUGCCUGACCAUUCUGCCUGCCCUGACCUCGAGCCUGCCUGCCACUCUGUACCUCCUGG
rnacentral:lncRNA from 1 species